GCUAAUGAUGACUCCUUAAUCUUUUGUCGGAUACCCCUUCACUCUAAUCAUGAGUGAGACAUCCAGUCUGAAAAGC